AUUAUAUUUUAAUUAUUGCUUGUAAUUAUUGCCAUAAUGCUGAUUCAAAUUAUUACCAAAUAAAACAAAAUUUCAAAAAUAUUCUAAAGUGAUCUGUCAUGCAUUAUUAUUAAUGACUUGUGGGCAUUUUUCCAAGAAAAUCAAAUUUUUUUCUUUUCAUUUUUUCACGUGCACCCCCCUUUUUUCCUUUUUUCCUUUUUUCCUUCCUUCUUUUUUCCUUUUGUUUUUUCUUUUUAUCAUUUUUUCAUUUUCUCUUUUCCUU
rnacentral:lncRNA from 1 species